rnacentral:rRNA from 1 species
UUACGUUAGGCGGCGCAGCAGAGUGGAACAUAGGGCAAUGGUGGGGAGUGUGAACCAGCCAAGCCGCGGAAGAGGGGAAGGGACUGAUAAUCGCAAACCUUUUUUGACAAGGAACAAAGGCGGGGACGGUCCCCGGAGACGGACC